AGUGAACGCUGGCGGUAGGCCUAACACAUGCAAGUUGAACGGCAGCACAGUAAGAGCUUGCUCUUACGGGUGGCGAGUGGCGGACGGGUGAGGAUUACAUCGGAAUCUACUUUUUCGUGGGGGAUAACGUAGGGAAACUUACGCUAAUACCGCAUACGACCUACGGGUGAAAGCAGGGGAUCUUCGGACCUUGCGCGAUUGAAUGAGCCGAUGUCGGAUUAGCUAGUUGGCGGGGUAAAGGCCCACCAAGGCGACGAUCCGUAGCUGGUCUGAGAGGAUGAUCAGCCACACUGGAACUGAGACACGGUCCAGACUCCUACGGGAGGCAGCAGUGGGGAAUAUUGGACAAUGGGCGCAAGCCUGAUCCAGCCAUACCGCGUGGGUGAAGAAGGCCUUCGGGUUGUAAAGCCCUUUUGUUGGGAAAGAAAAGCGGCAGGUUAAUACCCCGCUGUUCUGACGGUACCCAAAGAAUAAGCACCGGCUAACUUCGUG
rnacentral:rRNA from 1 species